AUCCCUUAUGAAUUAAACAACGAGGUCAUUUAGAUCGAAUGUUUAUCCAUAUAAAACUAAGGAAAUAGACAAAAGUUUGUUAGGGUGGUUAGUUAUGAAUGCCCUCCCCUUCAUACUGCAUGUAGUACAAGAUCAGGAUAUGUUAUGAAAUACAUGUACUUUUAUGCUUGUCAUUUUCAAUAAUGUACAUGUAUGUCUUGUUUACUCUACAAACAUGAACAAUCUAUUUGCAGUCAAUGUUCAAUGCCUAAAUAAAUGUAAUUAAAAAUGUAUUUAAAAAAUU
rnacentral:misc_RNA from 1 species